rnacentral:misc_RNA from 1 species
GAUUUACUCUUUCAUUGCAGGUGUAGGAAGUGGGAUGCAAACUGCAAACUUGAAAAGGGCGUUUCAAUGGUAGAGGAAGACCCAAGAAAAGACCAGACAUUAUUUCAGACACGUACGGGCACCUGCGUCGAACCAUCCGCCUUCGACUAUACAGAUAAUUGACACAAAGGCGUGACUUCCAGUGUAAAAACGAGCAAAACUACACCAGCAAAAUGUGUAGAGCGUCGCAUACUAUUAUACAGAAAAUUGGUCGUGCAAGUUAACAUACAUACAAUUGUUACUGAAGUACCACCACGAAAAAAUAGUUUUGAAUAAGUGUGUGAUUAGUUUUACUCACUGUCUGAACUAUUUGUUUUUCUUAUUUUCUUGGUGAUCUGUAAUGUCUACGUUAUAGGUACAAUCUGUAGUGAUUGCCAUAUUCUGAAACUGAUUUCAUCUCAUAAGAAGAAGCAUUCGUCGCAAUGUAUUCCUACUUGUGAUUACAUAAUGAUCUUUAUGGAAUUUUAACGUUAGCAAUGCCGAAAGAAAAUAAAAGAAGGGCGUACAGGCGUACGGCUAGGGUCGACCAAGUGGCACCAAGAGAACAGGGAGUCAGACUACCAGGAAGCGGUGCAGCAAACGUGACAGGUCAGGUACAAAAUGCCUUGGAAAAUGCACCCGAUCAUAACAGGGGAACUUUUCCAUCGUCACCACUGGGAUCACAACUGCCGGUUCAGCAGUUUGUUUCGACAGGAGUACAAACGGACAACACUGUCAAUGGUGGCCAUGAAGAUAAUGAUCUUCUACCGGAACAUGUAAUCUGGAUCGUUGGCUGUUCUAUACCCCAUUGGGCAAAUAAGAGAGCAUCACAGAGAUCUAAAGUCUGUCUAGGAUUUAAAGACUGCAAAAUCUCUUGGAUCACGAGAAAGGGUAUGACGUGGCCAGAAAUACUUCCUUUAGUCUCCAGAAAACUUCAGGACUGUACUUACAAACCAGAUGCCAUUAUCAUCCACUGCGGCGGCAACUCGCUUGAUUUAUAAUUUCAGAAGCCAGUGCUGCAAUGUGUACAUGUAACUGGUACCGCGCCAGAAUUAAUGGUUUAUGAAUCAUCGGCAAGCAUUGUGAUACUUAUAUUGACAGUUGUGGCUAUACUCAAACGGCAAUAAUGUUUUACUGACAGAAAACAAGGACGAAUAUCCACAAACGCGAAUCCAGCACGCGGACGCGCACACAACCAAAACAGACACACACAAACAAAGUAAACACACAAGGACAAAACAAACAAACAAAGGAACACAGUGGGGUACCGCCUUGGAACUGUCAGUGACAAAACCACAACUGCGGAGCUUAAACCGGAAAACAGUUUCAGGAGAUCGUUUUGUGCUGUUUCGCCUUGCUUUCUCCUUAGCGAUGAAUUUUGACUUUUGCUUUUCGCCAGGUCAACAUUCUGAGCUUAUUUAUAUAUGCUGCUGCUGCCUUGCGCGGGUAUCAUAUCGUCUGGCAUUUUUGCUGGCGAUACCUCGUUUAAAAACAAAAUAUAAUUAUCGUUUUGUAUUGUAAUAUCAAGUAUGCAUUAGUAUCGUUUGAAUGUGUGAUUGUUAUUCAAAAUAUGGCAAGAUUUUAUCUUGUAAUGAAUAUUAACUUGAUAAAUCUUAUUUUAUUUGUACUGAUCAAUCUUAUGUUUAAUUAUCUCUUAGAGGUGUGAUUUUGUGCUCACGUUAAGCAGUAAGGAUCGUUGUAUGUUCGUCGUCUACCAAACGUCUACAAUUAAUUUUAGAACAUAUUUGUUUCCAUAUUUGUAAAAAAAAUAAAUAAAAUUUUGACAAGGUGUAUAUCGCUACAAUAUCACAGUACAUUAUGAGCCACGACGAACCAGUACCUCAAGAUAUAAAAUUUCAAUUAACCCAUUUUGUACUCUCAUAUCAUCAUUUCUGCAACAAGCCAAAUACUGUUUUGACAUAUUGGGAAUACUUGAUGAUGGUCUAGACGAGUGUAGGAAUUUCUUAAAUUACGUAUCCUAGUAUGAUUAAGGUGAUUGUAGUAAGGCAAACAUUUUGUACUUAUCCAAAUGUAUCAUUUGUCCGAUGUUUGCACUUUCAUUUUUGUCACUCUAACUUGGGUAUGUACAUCUUAGCCCAGAUGAAAUAAGAACAUCAGGAGUUAUAACCGCCUGAUUUACCACUAUGUUUGGCACGCUAACAACUUCAUUUCUUUGCCAAUCCUUAAUACAUUAUAUCUGAACCGACACUAUCUCCAAGAAUUUCGAUUUAGGAACAGAUCACACAAGCCAGUCCUUGCUUAAUCAAAGGUGGUAUAUUUUAGUAUGUAGCACUCUAACAUCUUGUCCUUUUGUUAAUUUUCACUAGUUCAAAUAAUAUUUAUACAGAGCUUUAAUACCAAUAAGAGUUUGUUCGGAUUUCAUUUUCGGGCCUUACUAGAAUAAAGAUAUAGAGCUAUUUGAUUGCCUUUGAUUGGUCAAAAUUACCAUUACCUAAUACUCUUAGACUGUUUCGAUUGUUUAUAUUAAUUAUAGUUCAGGCAGUGAUCUAACAUUUUUCUGACAUUGGGUGCUUGUGACAUUGGCCUUGAAAAAUGUUAUACUCAGUUGAGCGAAUAAGGCCGGUUUGACUUAAGUUUGUGAAAUAGUAUAUUACAUUUUUAUUUAAGUAUUAUAAUCAUUGCGUCCUUUUAUUUGUGAUAUAAGAGAGGUUGCAAUCUCAUUUACAUGUACGUUUACCGUACAAAAUUGUAAGCGUCUGGGUAAAAUCCUGGGUAUUUCACUACUCGUAAACCUUCAUGUUUGAGUUCAGGUUCCGAUUUAUGCGAACCCGUACAAGAAUGAGGUCGCAACUUCACUCCUUUUAACAAAUUUUAAUUGUCAAAUAUAUUAUAGUUUUAAGAUUUUUUCUGCGGAAUUGAAUGAGGCGAACCAUGUCUUAUGGGGAAGCGACGGCACUUGCAUUAUGCGGGAUAUGACACAACAUCAACUUAGGAUACAGCAUCUAUGCCAUUCGUUCAAGAAUUUAUGUGACCGAGCGAACCGAGCGAAUUAUUCAACAGAACGUUUACCCCCGCCAUAACAUUAACUAGUCCUACGACAGACAGACAGACAGACAGAUAGCAUGGCCUCAUUAAAGUCUCACUUUUAUACACCAAUAAUGACUAUGAAAUAUAAUAAUUAAACCACGAAUGACGAGUCAAAUACAAAAUAACUAAGUAGGAAUAUGAACGGCUGCUAUUUUAACACAUUACUCACAGAUAAGAAGACAAAUGCUUUUUAAACUAAGAUUUAAUUUAAUUGUAGAUAAAAUUUUAACACUAAAAUAUUAUUAAGGAAACGUACUUGUAUAAAUUAUGAACGUUUUCCUCUUUGACACCUGUUUAGAUGCACCGGAAGAAAAUUAAUUACUCCUCAUACGGAGUAGGAUGUAAGUAUAAAUUUAAAAUCAGAAUGACCUAUUCAUCUUUGUUAUCUUUCCCUCAUGCUUAAUUUCAGCAAGAACUGUUACAGCAGCUAUUCGACAAAACUGUUGGCAGAAAGAGAGAGAAGCGUGUAUACGAAAAAUAUCAUGGGGGAUAUAUGCUGUAUAAGGCAGACGUUGACUCGUUUAAAUGGAACUUCAGACGUUUGACAUAUGACACAUUUGAUGAAUCGAAAGUUUCGAAAAUGUUAAGUGAUUUCCUUGAACAUCUGACGAGCUAUGAAAACCUACUAGCUUUCCAACUAGGUUUCCAAAUGAAAGGAAGGGAAAACAAUAAAAUAAGAGCAUGUAGAAAAGUCAAUGCAGCGUGGAGAGUUGAGCCCAGAGGCAAAGGGGCAAAUGUUUUAGGCAACAGAAAGUACGAACAGCCAAGUGUAAAAGAAUUAUGCAAAAUAGCGAAAGGUAUUGGCAAGGAAUAUCGCCAUCUUGGUUUCGAAUUAGGCUUUGAGAAGGCAAAUAUUGAUCAGAUAUGUAUGGACAAUAAUGCUACCAUUGAUAGAACAAUGGCUAUUUUAUGCGAGUGGAAAAACAGAAAUCAUAAAAACGCUACAUUUGAGGUAUUGGAUUCUGCCUUAGCAGAGGCUGGGUUAGAUUCGGAACACAUUUUACGAAAGAUAAUGUGAAUAAGACAACUUUUCCUUACAUAAAGUUCAAUUCUGUUUAAAGUUUAAAUGAUAACUUCAAUAUAACUUAUGAUCCAUAGACUAAAUGUUAUUUUUAAAGAUAUUUUAUAGCGUAAGAAAACUUUUACAAUCACAUACAUGUACUUAAUUUUGGUUUUGAUUGUUAAUUUAGAAACAUUUGUAAGCGUCGAAUACAUAACAUUCUAUAUUUCCCUGCUUAGUUCACAGAAUGUUCAUAUGGAUGUGAUUUCAUUUUAUAUGAAUGUUAUAAAGUAUGUUGAUAUCACAUCGAUGCUGAUUUCUUAUAACUUGUGAUUUUUAAUAUAUGAUAUUGAAUGAUGUCAUCUAUUUCUUUAUUAUCUCUAGUGAAACUGGUGUUAGUUGCGUGUUUAAAAAUGUUUCAUUUGAUUUAACAUACGCAUUUGAAAAAGAUAACUAUAUUUUUGUUGUCAUAGGACCAAAAUAAAGAUUCUGUGUAUUAUUUUCGUAUAAGGUUAUUUCAAAAUAUUU